rnacentral:rRNA from 1 species
UACGGAGGGCGCGAGCAUUAAUCGGAAUUACUGGGCGUAAAGCGCACGUAGGUGGCGACGUAAGUCGGGUGUGAAAGCCCCGGGCUCAACCUGGGAAUUGCAUUCGAGACUGCAUUGCUGGAGUACGGAAGAGGAGGGAGGAAUUCCCGGUGUAGCGGUGAAAUGCGUAGAGAUCGGGAGGAACAUCAGUGGCGAAGGCGGCCCUCUGGUCCAGUACUGACACUCAAGUGCGAAAGCGUGGGGAGCAAACAGG